CAGUCGUAACAAGGUUUUCGUAGGUGAACCUGCGGAAGGAUCAUUAGUGAAUUAACGGAUUCCUCUGCAAAGAGAAGGUCCGAUCCACUAUCACACACACUUGUGCACUUGUCAUUUUACAAUUCAUUUUUGUAUCACACACUUUGUAUGAAACCUGUUUAUAAUAAACACUUUGAUAAAGAAAGAAAAA
rnacentral:misc_RNA from 1 species